AGCGAACGCUGGCGGCAGGCUUAACACAUGCAAGUCGAACGCUCGUAGCAAUACGGGAGUGGCAGACGGGAGAGUAACACGUGGGAACGUGCCCUUCAGUUCGGAACAACCAAGGGAAACUUUGGCUAAUACCGGAUACGUCCGUAAGGAGAAAGAUUUAUCGCUGAAGGAUCGGCCCGCGUCUGAUUAGCUAGUUGGUGAGGUAACGGCCCACCAAGGCUACGAUCAGUAGCUGGUCUGAGAGGAUGAUCAGCCUCACUGGGACUGAGACACGGCCCAGACUCCUACGGGAGGCAGCAGUGGGGAAUCUUGGACAAUGGGCGCAAGCCUGAUCCAGCCAUGCCGCGUGGGUGAUGAAGGCCCUAGGGUUGUAAAGCCCUUUCGGCGGGGAAGAUAAUGACGGUACCCGCAGAAGAAGCCCCGGCUAACUUCGUGCCAGCCGCCGCAGUAACAC
rnacentral:rRNA from 1 species